AUGCUGUGGGCUCCUCUCCUUGUCCUGCUCGGGAUGUGGUGCGCAGGUGCCAGCUCACAGCCUGCGCUCACUCAGCCACCCGCAGAGUCAGUGUCCCCAGGAAACACUGUGAAACUCUCCUGCACCAUGAGCAGUGGGACCAGCAUCAGUGGCUACAGUGUGUACUGGCACCAGCAGAAACCUGGGACCCCCACUCGGUACCUGCUGAGAUACUACAUUGAUUCCAGCAAGCACCGGGGCUCCGGGGUCCCCGCUCGCUUCUCUGGCUCCAAAGACACGUCCAGUAACCCCGGCUACCUGACCAUCGCCAGUGUCCUCCAAUCACCCUGUCUGAGUGGGAUGUAGAGAGCUCU